AAAGGGGCGCGGACAAGCGGUACAACAAUCCGCUGCAAUCACGCGUUAAGACAAUUUGUAUUCCUCAAUAUUAUCGGUAUAAAACCUUAACAGAAAAAGAAAAGCCACUGGUGCAGCCACUAUUGUUGGUAAUUUAAUGUCUAUCUGUAAGCAACCAUUGCUAACGAAAAAACGGUUCUGAGCGGCGUUUGGUUGAUAGUGUGGCUUUUUCAAAAAUACAUGUG